AGCACUUUGAAACAGCCAUCGCUGCAUACAAAGUGCUGUACAUGGAACAAUUUAACAUAUACAAUAAACAGUAAAACAAACCAAGCAACGUGUUGCACGUCAGUUCAAUCAGUUCAAUCAUAAAAGAAAACCUUUCGUAAUCGUCGUCAUCAUCACGUCACAGUCGUGUGACUGUCGAAAUUAUCCUCUCUGACUGCUGCUCUUCCAUUAUCACUAGCACAGCUUUUCUCUUUCCCUUUGGUAAUCACCGUCUCGUCCAUUUUCUCUCUCAUGAGCACUCUCGCUGCUCCCGAGUGUCUUCAUGAGUCUGACAAGAGUCUUGUUGUGAACACAAGCAGGGGGGGGGGGGGGGGGGGGGGGUGGCGGGGUCCACUCUUGGCCAGAAAAGUGGGCUGACAUCUUUAGCCUAGAGAAAGAGCAUCUGUGCAUUCACGGCAAAAGCCAGUCAUUAUGACGAUUGUAACAGACUUCCACAUGACAUAGUCGGUCCGUCAAAGGAGGCCUCGUGGACUCUCCUCGCCCGAAGCGUCAUGCUACAUGUCAACACCCGCAAGAUCGUAAUCUCACUUCAAAAGCUUCUUUAAUACUCCCUUGGCGCUGACGCUCGCUGGACCUUCGCUUGCUCAAAGUGGGUGGUCUGGCUCCAUUCGUCUUUGUCAGGCAGCAUUAGUGCCAUGAGAGGCAAGUGUACACACACACACGCACAUGCACACAUGUGCAUUUACACUACACGUCAGUGCCUCCCAUGGGGAGGGGGUGGGGAAGCCGUGACAGCAGGCCUCGCCAAAGCAGGCCAAUGAAUACAGAUCACCUUGCUCCUCUCAACCACGGAGAGCCAGAGAUCCUUCCGUGGCCCUGUGGGACACCGGGUCGGCCUGGCUGUGCGUUGCCUGCGCGGGCUCCAUUCGGAUGUACGCGCCUGCCUUGUGUAAACAUUGCGCUGUCAAUAGAGCAAACUGUGCCAUACAUGGUGCACUGCAAUCAUCUUUUCUGCCUGUGAGCAUAUCUGUCUCUCUCACUGUCUAUCCUGCUAUCCAUGCAUCCAUCCCGUUGUACGACUAUAUCUACAAUCCAUUUUUCCAGAAUGAUACCGUAACAAUAUUACUAUAACUUUCAUGAAAAUUAUUUAUAUUAA